GAAUGAUUUGUCUGGUUAAUUCCGAUAACGAACGUGACUCAAUCAUAUUAAAUAGAUACCUAUCAGCAGUUGAGAUGCCGAAGCUAUGGUAUUGCUAGCAAUAGUGGUAUUGUAGUGGAGUCUCACCUGAUAGUUUGUCAUUCAUCACUCGUGGGUGUUUGACUUGAAUCUGCUUAAUAGGACAAUUUGUGUUUAGCAAAAUGAGAUUGAGCAAUAACAGGUCCGUGAUGCCCUUAGAUGUCCUGGGCUGCACGCGCGCUACAAUGAAGACAUCAACGUGUAUCCUAUAUUGAAAGAUACGGGAAAUCACUAAAACGUCUUCUUAGUUGGGAUUAUGGACUGAAACUGUUCAUAUGAACCUGGAAUUCCCAGUAAAUG
rnacentral:rRNA from 1 species